UACAGAGGUCUCAAGCGUUGUUCGGAUUCAUUGGGCGUAAAGGGCGCGUAGGCGGCGGGGUAAGUCUGGUGUGAAAUCUCGGAGCUCAACUCCGAAAUUGCACUGGAUACUGCUCUGCUUGAGGGUUGGAGAGGAGAUCGGAAUCACGGUGUAGCAGUGAAAUGUCGUAGAUAUCGUGAGGAAGACCAGUGGCGAAGGCGGAUCUCUGGACAAAUCCAUGACGCUGAGGCGCGAAGGCUAGGGGGAGC
rnacentral:rRNA from 1 species